UUCACUACUUCCACUGCUCUCUGUGGGACAGGACGACUUUCAACAGACAAAUGUGAGGUAGCUGUUUGUGAGGAGAAGAAAGAGAAGAAGAAGAAGAAGAAGAAGAAGAAGAAGAAGAAGAAGAAGAAGAAGAAGAAGAAGAAGAAAGAGAAGAAGAAGAAGAAGAAGAGAGAAGAAGAAGAAGAAGAAGAGAAGAAGAGAAGAAGAAGAAGAAGAAGACGCCUCCUCUCCUCCUCCUCCUCCCUCCUCCCCCCUCCCUCUCUCCUCCUCCCUCUCCUCCUCCCUCUCCUCCUCUCCUCCCCCUCUCCUCCUCCUCCCCUCCUUCUCCUCCUUCUUCUUCCCUCCCCUCCCCCCUCCCCCCCCCCCCCCCUCCUCUCCCUCCCCCUCCCUUUCCCCCUCCCCCCCCCCCCUCCUUUCCCUCCUCCCUUCUCCCCGCUCCUCCUCCCUCCUCCUCCCGCCUCCCCCCCCUCCUCCCCCUCCCCCCUCCCCCUCCUCCCCCCUCCUCCUUCUCCUCCUCCUCCCCCCCGCUCCGCCCCUCCUCCCCCCCUCCCUCCUCCGCCUCCCCUUCUCCCUCCUUCUCUCCCCCUCUCUCCUCCUCUCCCCUCCCCUCUCCUCCUCUCCUUCCCCCCCUCCGCCGCGCCCCCCUCCGCCCCUCCCCCCCCCUCCCCCUCCCCCCCCUUCCCCCCUUCUCCCCCCCUCCUCCUCCCCCCCUUCUCCCCUCCUCCUUCUCCCUCCUCCUCCUCCCUCCUCCUCCUCCUCCCGCCCUCCUCUUCUCUCCUCCUCCUCCUGUCCUCCCUCCUCCUCCGUCUCCCCCCCUCUCCUUCCCCCUCCUCCCCCCUCCCCCUCCUCUGCUCCUCCUCCUCCUUCUCCCACCCGCUCCUCUCCUCCUUCGCCUCCUCCUCCUUCUCCCCCUCCUCCCCUUCUCCCCCUCCUCCUCCUCCCCCCCUCCUCCGUCUCCUCCUUCUUCUCCUCCUCCUCCUUCUCCCUCCUCCUCCUCCUCCUCCUUCUCCCCCUCCUCCC
rnacentral:lncRNA from 1 species